GACAAGGACGAGCGGCUGCAGGAGGCCACGCGCCAGCUGGACAACAGGGACGGCAAGCUAACGGCGGCGCAGGCGGAGGUGGCGGCCGCGCAAGCCGAGGUGGCGCGGCUCGAGGGGGAGCGGACGGAGCUGCGCUCCCAGAUCGAGGCCGGCGAUGGCGCGGCGGCCACCGCCCUCCGCCAGCUGGAGCAGCAGAACGCCAGCCUGCAGCAGGCGGUGAGCCAGCAGC